CCUACGGGUGGCUGCAGUGGGGAAUAUUGGACAAUGGGGGCAACCCUGAUCCAGCCAUGCCGCGUGUGUGAAGAAGGCCCUCGGGUUGUAAAGCACUUUCAGUGAGGAAGAACGCCUGGUGGUUAAUACCCAUCAGGAAAGACAUCACUCACAGAAGAAGCACCGGCUAACUCCGUGCCAGCAGCCGCGGUAAUACGGAGGGUGCGAGCGUUAAUCGGAAUUACUGGGCGUAAAGCGCGCGUAGGUGGCUUGAUAAGCCGGUUGUGAAAGCCCCGGGCUCAACCUGGGAACGGCAUCCGGAACUGUCAAGCUAGAGUGCAGGAGAGGAAGGUAGAAGUCCCGGUGUAGCGGUGAAAUGCGUAGAGAUCGGGAGGAAUACCAGUGGCGAAGGCGGCCUUCUGGACUGACACUGACACUGAGGUGCGAAAGCGUGGGUAGCAAACAGGAUUAGAUACCCUGGUAGUC
rnacentral:rRNA from 1 species